CAGACUCACCUGUACCCAGCUGUGCGUCCAUGAAGAGUGACCAGUCUAUGGAUCCACCUAUCGUGUCCAGAGAGAGAACCUCUUCUACUAAACUAAAGGCCCAUCAGAAGAGACCAGUCUCACCUGCACACAGCUGUGUGUCCAUGAAGAGUGACCAGUCUAUAAAUCAUCCAAUCAUGUUCAAAGGUGGAGACUCUUCUACUAAACUACAAGAUCAUCAGGAGAGAUCAGAGUCACCUGUUCCCAGCUAUGUGUCCAUGAAGAGGCACCAGUCUAUGGAUCCACCUGUUAUUUUCAGAGAAAAAGACUACUAAACAAAGACAAGUGACUCUGGUCUAUGGAUCAUCCAAUCCUCUGAGUUGGAAACAUUACUACUGGACAAAGGGUCGACCAGGAGAGACCAGACUUGGAUGUUCUUCAUGGGCGAGGAGAGGAGACCUGUCAAAUCUUCCAUGCAUUACAGUCACAGAGAGCCAAAACUGAAUCUGAGUCUAUGGUGGCAGCUAACUCACCUAAGGGCACUGAACCCAGCAGCGGUGGCUCUGGUCCAAACAGCAUGCAGGAGCACUUUGUAAUAUUUGUGUUGUGGAGAAAUGACCAGGCAGGAGACAGGAGUACAGUUAGUUUUUGUUUAGUCAAACCUCUCGAGCUCUACAGUUCCCGGGCACACUAGUGCGCAUGUGCAUUCCCUAUUAGGUGUAGUAACGUAACACUGUCGUAAUACAUCACCGCUUAGUAA